AAAUAAAAGGGGGUGUCAAUCUGGGCACACUGGGACGUUGCGCACGAUAUUGCGACACGCUGGCCAAGAUUUGAAGUAAAUGGGAAAACUUGAAGAAAGGACAUUUUGUAUAAAUGAAUAAACCUAGUUUUACAGCUAGCUGCAUAUUUCAUUUGUAUGCAAGUUGCAUUAAAUCUCAUUAAACUGAAUAAAACUAAAAGACACAAUAGGUAAAAGUCAGUGACAAUAAAAGGAAUAGAGCAGUCAACAUAGUGUAACAAUUAGACAUAGUAUAUAAAAAUAUAAAUAACUACGUAAGACAACAGGGUAAUUUAAUAGCAUAACAACCCCUGAUAACAUACAAAGAGAGAAAAAAAAACAUACUAGGAAACAUAUUCAAAAAAUCAUAACACUAUAACUAACUGGUGGGAUGUAUAAAUACAGAGC
rnacentral:lncRNA from 1 species